CCCCAUAUUUUACAGCUAGAUGGAGCUAUGUGGUUGUAGCAUGUCUUUGGCAAGGAUUGCCUUGCAAGUAGGUGCAAUUCCUUGCACAAUAGCUGGAGGCACUGUGCCUCAUUUAUUGUUGGAGUAACAAGCCAAGAGAGGAUCUGCUGCUCGUUUCAAUGUAAUCCUGUCUCUCCCCGCACACAGUCGUCCGACAUGGCGACCAUGAAGAAGCUUCUCGGCGGUACAACCAGCAUCUGAACUCCAUUUGGCUCCACGCAAGCAGCCUGAACUGCGUCUGGAAGUGGAUGUAAAAUAUUUUGUAAAUUGGGAAUUAUACAGGUGGAUUAUCCACAUUUUAAAAACAGGGCUGUACGGUAGCACAACAGAGCACCAUGGUGGAGCCUGAGCACAGAGCAUCAGCAGCCCAGCGUCUUGGAGCCCAGGAGACCCUGGGCAUCAGCACCCUGGACCCUGGCCACCGGCCUCCAACAAUGCCCCCUGGACGCCACGUCUCCAUUAAGAUACGCAUGUUGGACGACACAGAAGAGGUCUUCGACGUCUCGCAAAGAGCCUCUGGCAAGGUGGUGUUUGACCUGGUGUGUACCCACCUGAACCUCGUUGAAGGGGACUACUUCAGCCUAGAGUACCAAGACCACCACAAGAUGAUGGUUUGGCUAGACCUCCUUAAGCCAAUAGUCAAGCAGCUGAGACGGCCCAAGCACACAGUCCUGCGAUUUGUGGUGAAGUUUUUCCCCCCUGACCACACCCAACUACUGGAGGAACUGACUAGGUACCUCUUCGCCCUGCAAGUCAAGCAUGACCUUGCCUGUGGACGUCUGGCCUGCAACGACAGUAGCGCGGCCCUGCUGGUCUCCCAUAUUAUCCAGUCUGAGAUUGGGGACUUUGAGGAGAGCCAGAGUCGGCAGCACCUCCUCAACAACAGCUACAUUCCAGACCAGGUGGCUCUGAUCGACAGGAUCAUGGAGUUCCACUCCAAGAAUGUGGGUCAGACGCCAGCAGAGUCGGACUACCAGCUGCUGGAGGUGGCACGCAGGCUGGAGCUGUACGGAGUGAGACUGCAUCCUGCCAAGGACCGCGAGGGCAGCAAGCUGAGCCUGGCCGUGGCGCACACUGGUGUCCUGGUCUUUCAGGGACACACCAAGAUCAAUGCCUUCAACUGGUCCAAAGUGCGCAAAUUGAGCUUCAAACGGAAGCGGUUUCUCAUCAAGCUCAGACCAGACCUGAACCAGAGCUCUUACCAGGACACUCUGGAGUUCCUGAUGGGUAGCAGGGACUGCUGUAAAGUAUUCUGGAAGAUCUGUGUGGAAUACCACGCCUUUUUCCGCCUCUUCGAGGAGCCCAAACCCAAACCCAAGCCUGUCCUCUUCACCCGAGGCUCCUCCUUCAGAUUCAGCGGUCGGACCCAGAAGCAGGUGAUUGAUUACGUGAAGGAUUCUGAGUUUAAGAAGAUUCCCUUUGAAAGGAAACACAGCAGGGUCCAACACAGCAGCAGCCGUCUGUCUCCACUGCCUUCCCCGCACCGCCCUCAAGUGCCAAAAGAAAGUGUGAGCCGUGCUCCAGGAGACAUAGUGGACUCUCCGCCACGCCGUCACUGGAAGGAGUCCGUGUUGGUGAGCGCCGAAGACCCAUCGGCCCUGCGGACCAGAAGCAGCCCCUCCAGCCAGAGGAAUGGGGCACACAGCGAGGAAAGGCCAGGCCCCGGGGCAGAACCAGGCCCAGCCAGGCAGCCCCACCCAGAACAUCUGAACACAGGAGUGGUGUCCAACAGCCCCCAUCUCUCUGCCUCCUCCGGUAACUCCCAGGGCAUGGUCAAUGGUCAGAAGCCGGUUGAGCUCUGUGGUCACAGUCCGGACGGUCGGCAGCCCUCCCCCCUUACCAGCCCCCUGCUCAACGAUGCCGGAAGCGUGCGCACCGACGAUGAAGACGAGGUUCGGAGGAAGAGAUUCCCCACCGACAAGGCCUACUUUAUUGCCAAGGAGCUGCUGACCACAGAGAGGACCUAUCUGAAGGACCUGGAGGUCGUGACUGUGUCUUUUCAGAACUUGGUGGGUAAAGAUGAAGCUGCACCGGACUCCCUGAAGAGCAUCAUCUUCUCCAACUUUGACCCUCUGUACAAGUUCCACUCCGGCUUCCUCAGAGAGGUGGAGCAGAGACUGGCUCUAUGGGAAGGGCGCUCCAAUGCCCACAUUAAAGGAGAUUACCAGCGCAUCGGUGAUGUCAUGCUGAAGAAUCUACAGGGCCUGAAGCCGCUGACUGCCCACCUCCAGAAGCACUCGGAGGCCCUGGUGGAGCUGGAGAAGGCAUGCCGGGGCUCCCGGCGGCUGGAGGUGCUGGUCCGGGACUUUGAGCUGCAGAAGGUGUGCUACAUCCCUCUCAACGUGUUCAUCCUCAGGCCCCUGCACCGCCUCUUGCAUUACAAGCAGAUCCUGGAGCGUCUGUGCAAACACUACCCCCCCACACACGUGGAUUUCAGGGACUGCAGAGCCGCGCUAGCGGACGUGUCAGAGGUGGUGGCCCAGCUCCACGGCAGCAUGAUCAAGAUGGAGAACUUCCAGAAGCUUCUGGAGCUUAAGAAGGAUUUGAUUGGCAUCGACAGUCUAGUCACUCCAGAGCGGGAGUUCAUCCGGCUAGGCUGCCUCAGCAAGCUGUCUGGCAAAGGCCUCCAGCAACGAAUGUUUUUCCUGUUCAAUGACGUCCUCUUGUAUACGAGUCGAGGGAUGACGGCGACGAACCAGUUCAAAGUGCAUGGGCAGCUCCCUCUCCAUGACAUGACAAUCCGGGAGAGCGAGGACGAGUGGGGUGUGCCUCACGCCUUCACCCUGGUUGGGCAGCGUCAGUCAGUGGUGGUAGCAGCUAGUUCCCUGUCAGAGAUGGAGAAGUGGAUGGAGGACAUUAAGAUGGCCAUUGACUUGGCAGAGACCAGCAACGGCCACACAGCUGACCUGCUGGCCAGAAGUCUGACUGAUAACAGUAAGUUGAUACUGCAGUACACAGACUCUAGAGCAUGGGCACUGGGCCUGCCGUAGGGGACAACUAGUAGUGUCUGGAGAAUCAUCCGACCCCGCGCGUUAAUGAGUUAUCGCUGAGUUCUCCCCAUUCUGUUCCCUCAUUGCACGGACAGUUGCUACUCUUCUAGAAACUUCAGAGGCAGAAUGGGCCAACCUAUACAUCCGAAAUGAGCUUGAAUAGCUCAAAUACAAUGCUUCAAAAUUGAUGGUUUAUAAAGUCUUGAAUUAAAUAAUUUUUCUAAUUUCCUACAGCCUGUCUGCAUGUAUUUACAAACCUAGCCACUAUGAAGUAUUGUGCUACUAUUUAUCUCAUCAGGUUUUACAGUAGGAUCCGUCUUCCCACGUUGUCGCCGUGUGUAUGUGGAAUUAACCGCUUCCUGAAUUUCCCAGAAUCCACAACAGAGGACUCCUGUGCGGAGACGGAGUCUGAGGACGACCUGAUGGCGUCACGCACCUCCCUGGAGAGGCAGGCCCCUCACCGUGGUAACACCACGGUGCACGUGUGCUGGCACAGGAACACCAGCGUGUCCAUGGUGGACUUUAGCAUAGCUGUGGAGGUACCACAACCAGUCCUAACCUGUCCUGCUCUGCCCUCCCCUCCCCCAUCUCUCUCUCACUCACUAUGUAUCUGAGUGUGUAUCUGUUUCCUCUCCUUAUUGAAUGUGCUUCUCUCCCCUGGGAACAAUGUCCUCCUGUGCCACCCUCUCUCUCUGUCCUGUGCUAUUUAGACAUUAGAUUACCUCAGUGCUUUGUCCCCAAGCUGUUGGCACUGUCUCGUCUGUGAACUGCUACAUAGGACACUCGGCAGGAUGUCACCGUCGUUUUUCGGUCUUGAACAGCACAUCUCAGUGCAGCUGAGACGGCAUCUUUCAAGCCGUUUAUUUUCUCUGUUAUGUUGUAUACUGAGCUCAGAGCAAGACCAGACUUUAGCAUGAGGUGGGUGCACUGACAGGACACUGUUCUCAUCUUGCCCUCUGUGGCUAACGGUUCCAGUGUGGUUUUCUUAUCUAAUCUCUACUGUGGAUGUCCCGUGUGGUUUUGCGCUCCUUUUUUCUCUCCUUCAGAGCCGUACCUGGACUCACCGUUAGUCCCCCCCCCCCCCCCCUCCGUGUUUAGCCCUUGCAGUGCAUGCGUGUUUACACCUACUCAGUCUUUGUGUCUCUGUCCUCUCCUCCCUCCCCCCCUCUCUCUUUUCUGUCUGUCUCUUCUGUUUGUCCGUCUGCCUGUCCUCCGUGGUAGAGGACCCUAGUCCAGUCAGUGACUCAGAGGCCUCCCUCUCGGGGCCCGGCAGUGGCCAGGGACCAGUGCCUCUGUCUCUUAUCUGCUGGUAUCGAGUUCACAGCCUCUCCUUUAGUGAUUCCUGCAGGAGUCUAGAGAAUCAGCUGUCAGGAAACCUGCUGAGGAAGUUCAAGAACAGCAACGGCUGGCAGAAACUCUGGGUGGUCUUCACCAACUUCAGCCUGUUCUUCUACAAGACCCACCAGGAUGAUUAUCCUUUGGCCAGUCUCCCCCUGUUGGGCUACUCGGUCACCAUCCCCACUGAGUCUGAAAACAUCCACAAGGACUAUGUCUUCAAACUGCAUUUCAAAUCCCACGUCUACUACUUCAGAUCUGAGAGCGAAUACACUUUUGAGAGGUGGAUGGAGGUCAUUCGCAGUGCCACCGUCUCUGCCAGCAGCACCCGCAUUCUGAGCCGGAAAGAGCCCCAUCCGUACUGAUCCAAAGAGCAAGGGCUCUCUCCCUGUCUCCAUGCCUCUUCUCCCUACCACAAUCUCCCAUAGGGUCUGGCCACAUCUAGCCUCUCAUCACACUACGACUCCCCAAGCAGCAAGCUGAAGCAGAGCCCCUCUGGAGCCACAUUCACUUCACUUCUCUGGACACUCUUGAUUUCCUUUUCUACACAUAUCUGGGACAUAUGUACAUUGAGCAGUGUCCAUGCACAAUCUUGGUGCUUUUUAAUGCUUUAAUGGUGACAUGUCCGCUGGUUUAGACUGCAUCAGAGACUGCAUUUUCAGCAUUUUUACUCAGCUCUGAACCUCUUUUUGUAGGAUGCCAUUUUAUACUGUUUUCUAACGGGCUGAAUCACUUACUGUACUUCUGGUUUCACAUUCUGUCAUUGGAUUGUUUUUAUGGUGGGAACAUGUUGAUACAGAGAUUCUGCAUUUUUAAACUUUUUUUUCAUAGAUGGUUAGAAUAUCACUGCAUCCUCAAGAUUUUUGUCUCCUUGUUUACUUUAAGGGGGAAAAUAAUAAUGAAAAAAUGAUAAUAAAAAAGUGCCAAACAGUUGAACCAUUUUCCUACACUUUUAAUGCAAUUUUACUACAUUGGUGGUGAGGAGACUUGAAAUGUGUUGUAAGAAAAAA